GGCCUGCGCAAUUGAUUCUGUAUUUGUCGUGUUUCGGCAAUAAACGCGCGCGUUUGAGAGCGUGUGUAAGGAGAAGCAGCUGAGGUCUGAUCGGCGUAGGUCGGUGCCGGACAGCGCGGGGAAAAGGCCAAGGAGCCCUUUAACGAGUGUAAAUGGCAAUGUUAUACGAAGAGUGAUCUCAUGUGAGUUAAGCGCGUUCCACAUUAUCCAUUUGCGUGUGUCGUACGUGGCAGCGAGCAACCGAGUAUCGCACUAGUUAGUAUCCGUGCGAUUGUAAUUAGCCGCGUUCUUCCGAUUGAUUUGCGUCUGCGAAUGAAUGUUUGGAGCAACGAAGAGAACGAUGGCAGUGACGUCGGCGGGAUGUGAGGAGACUGAUCAAUACGUUUCAAUAUGGCAAUUCAAUUCUAUAUUCAUAUGUAUCACCGCAGCUUCGUGGCUGAGCUGAACUACGCAUCGAGUCGAUAUUCCUGGAGGUGAGAAUUGCCAAGAGGGAGCUAACGUCCAUCGUCGCCGAAUUAUUGUGAAAUAAACGAACCGCAGCCGGUUCGUCGCGUCGCGCGUUUUUCUUCCGGGAGUGCCGUUUAAGUAUUGGACUAAUGGACUUUUCAUAACUCCCAUUCGAUAGAAUCCUAAUUCGAGGGCCGGGAAUCGCACCCCCGCUGCUUGGCAGUGGAUCUCCUCACUGGGGCGUUGCGCAUGGUGGCUAAGAAAGACGGCGCACCGCGACGUUCCAUGCCGAAGUGCCCGUGCACGAGGCAAUGCCGGGCCGCACGUACGACAUGACCCGUGUGCAUGUUGCGCGGCUGUCAUCUGGUUGUGUGAGGUUUACACGCUCUGUCUCCGGCGAUCGGUUCGGUCCUAAGCGGUUAGAGUUCGGAUCGGUUGCCUUGGAUUCGCGCGUUUCUCUUGCUCUCGUCCACCAUCCUAAGGCUUUCUUAGAUCCUUGAUACCCUUUUUGGAUUCUUUGGAUCUGGGGUUCGAGCUGGGUGAAUCGCGUUUAAUCUGACUUGGUCAGAACUUGGCCUUGUAGGUUAAGCUUGUGACGAGAGGCUGGCUCUCAUUUCCUGAUUCGUCUAAAAUGCUAGACGUCGGCAAUGAGUACCUUCUUCUCUCGUCCUGCCGGAGUGUCUUGUCGACGCCGCUUGGAUAUAAGAUCCAGUGGGACUGAUUAAGAUGAUCCGUUGGCUGGGCUUAUGAACGAGUCAAUUUUAGACGUGAUUUUUGUGAGACAAGAGGCGCAGGAAUUCGAUACCAUUGAUUUCGUUUUCUUCCGCGUGGGGCUUACCCUUGUUCGGGGGCGGGUACGCGUGCGUCCUACUCGCCGACUCGGGGUGCUGAAUCCAUGGGAAUCCCUCUGAAUGGGAACUCAUAUCAUGGGUUUUAUAAAUCCGAAGUGCCGUAGUAUCGCGCGAAAGACUUUAUAGAUAAUUAGUUCACGCGCGCAAAUUUAGUAUAUGAUUCGCGAGUGUUCCGCGAGUGUGCAACGAGAGGAAGAGGACAACCUGGAGAAUUCUGGGAGGAGGAGGAGGCCGGGGAGAGGCACCGGGCGCCAGCGGAGCAACUAUGGGUAAUCACCGUAGCUUCAUGGUUUGCUGGUUAACUCCGCUCGUUGCGCAUCGGAUCGAUUUACAGGAUCUGAGAGGAGGAGGAGACCCUUGGAGAGGCAUCUGGCCCCGGCGGAGCAACCUUGGGUAAUCAUCGUAGCUUUGUGGCUGAUUAACUCCGCUCGUUG